AAUACGAUCGCCGGCCUCUCCCGCGGGAUCGCUUUUGUAGUCAUCUUGCCGUGCGUGGAUCACCAGAGCGGAACCAUCGGAAUCGAAAAGAUUGUUCUUACCCUGUUUUAGAGAGAGCUGCGGGGCAAUGAAUUCCACCGUCAACGCGCCGUUCUCAGGUACAUGCAGGUUGGGAAGAUCCCCUGCGUGACCUCCGCUGCUGUCGAGAAAACCAUGUUUCUUACCCUGAGGAUUAAAGUGUCCCCCAGCCGAUGUGAAAGGCGGUUCGCAUUUUCCCACCUCGUGAACGUGGAAGGCGUGAGUUCCGGCCGAUACGCGCGCUGUCUUUUGCG
rnacentral:misc_RNA from 1 species